CCAGGUCUUGACAUCCCUUGCUAAUCCUAGAAAUAGGACGUUCCCUUCGGGGACAAGGUGACAGGUGGUGCAUGGUUGUCGUCAGCUCGUGUCGUGAGAUGUUGGGUUAAGUCCCGCAACGAGCGCAACCCUUAUUAUUAGUUGCCAGCAUUCAGUUGGGCACUCUAGUGAGACUGCCGGUGACAAACCGGAGGAAGGUGGGGAUGACGUCAAAUCAUCAUGCCCCUUAUGACCUGGGCUACACACGUGCUACAAUGGCAUAUACAACGAGUCGCCAACCCGCGAGGGUGCGCUAAUCUCUUAAAGUAUGUCUCAGUUCGGAUUGUAGGCUGCAACUCGCCUACAUGAAGUCGGAAUCGCUAGUAAUCGCGGAUCAGCACGCCGCGGUGAAUACGUUCCCGGGUCUUGUACACACCGCCCGUCACACCAUGAGAGUUUGUAACACCCAAAGCCGGUGGGGUAACCUUUUAGGAGCCAGCCGUCUAAGGUGGGACAGAUGAUUAGGGUGAAGUCGUAACAAGGUAAGCGUAGACGU
rnacentral:rRNA from 1 species